CAAAUCAGGUAGGACUACCCGCUGAACUUAAGCAUAUCAAUAAGCGGAGGAAAAGAAACUAACAAGGAUUCCCCUAGUAACUGCGAGUGAAGCGGGAAAAGCUCAAAUUUAAAAUCUGGCGGUCUUCGGCCGUCCGAGUUGUAAUCUGGAGAAGCGUUUUCCGCGCUGGACCGUGUACAAGUCUCUUGGAACAGAGCGUCAUAGAGGGUGAGAAUCCCGUCUUUGACACGGACUACCAGUGCUAUGUGAUGCGCUCUCGAUGAGUCGAGUUGUUUGGGAAUGCAGCUCAAAAUGGGUGGUAAAUUCCAUCUAAAGCUAAAUAUUGGCGAGAGACCGAUAGCGAACAAGUACCGUGAGGGAAAGAUGAAAAGCACUUUGGAAAGAGAGUUAAACAGUACGUGAAAUUGCUGAAAGGGAAACGAUUGAAGUCAGUCGCGUGUGCUAGAACUCAGCCUUGCUUUUGCUUGGUGCAUUUUCUAGUGUACGGGCCAGCAUCAGUUUUGGCCGCCGGAAAAAGGCCUUGGGAAUGUGGCACCUUCGGGUGUGUUAUAGCCCUUGGUUGUAUACGGUGGCUGGGACUGAGGAACAUAGCAUGCCUUUACGGCGGGGCUUCGGCCACCUUCAUGCUUUGGAUGCUGGCGUAAUGGCUUUAAACGACCCGUCUUGAAACACGGACCAAGGAGUCUAACAUGCCUGCGAGUGUUUGGGUGGAAAACCCGAGCGCGUAAUGAAAGUGAAAGUUGGGACUUCUGUCGUGGAAGGCACCGACGCCCGGACCAGACCUUCUGUGACGGAUCCGCGGUAGAGCAUGUAUGUUGGGACCCGAAAGAUGGUGAACUAUGCCUGAAUAGGGUGAAGCCAGAGGAAACUCUGGUGGAGGCUCGUAGCGAUUCUGACGUGCAAAUCGAUCGUC
rnacentral:rRNA from 1 species